rnacentral:rRNA from 1 species
AUUGAACGCUGGCGGCAGGCUUAACACAUGCAAGUCGAGCGGGGGAAGGUAGCUUGCUACCGGACCUAGCGGCGGACGGGUGAGUAAUGCUUAGGAAUCUGCCUAUUAGUGGGGGACAACAUCUCGAAAGGGAUGCUAAUACCGCAUACGUCCUACGGGAGAAAGCAGGGGAUCUUCGGACCUUGCGCUAAUAGAUGAGCCUAAGUCGGAUUAGCUAGUUGGUGGGAUAAAGGCCUACCAAGGCGACGAUCUGUAGCGGGUCUGAGAGGAUGAUCCGCCACACUGGGACUGAGACACGGCCCAGACUCCUACGGGAGGCAGCAGUGGGGAAUAUUGGACAAUGGGGGAACCCUGAUCCAGCCAUGCCGCGUGUGUGAAGAAGGCCUUAUGGCUGUAAAGCACUUUAAGCGAGGAGGAGGCUACUUUAGUUAAUACCUAGAGAUAGUGGGCGUUACUCGCAGAAUAAGCACCGGCUAACUCUGUGCCAGCCGCCGCCGUAA